rnacentral:sRNA from 1 species
ACUUAGGGCAGGAUGAACGCUGCUUUCCAAGAUGGCGACGGAGGGAGGAGGGAAGGAGAUGAACGAGAUUAAGACCCAAUUCACCACCCGGGAAGGUCUGUACAAGCUGCUGCCGCACUCGGAGUACAGCCGGCCCAACCGGGUGCCCUUCAACUCGCAGGGAUCCAACCCUGUCCGCGUCUCCUUCGUAAACCUCAACGACCAGUCUGGCAACGGCGACCGCCUCUGCUUCAAUGUGGGCCGGGAGCUGUACUUCUAUAUCUACAAGGGGGUCCGCAAGAGACAAGCUCUCGCCAUGUUGCCCAGGCUGGUCUCUAAUUCCUGGCCUCAAGCUGUCCUCCUGCCUUGGCCUCCAAAGCACUGGGAUAAUAGUUGUGAGCCACCGUGCCCAGCCUAGAUUCUUCUUAAUAUACUGUUUCCUUUGCCUGGAAUGUGCUUCUAUUCCUCACUCUCUGCCCCUUCAUCUGUUUAACUCCUACUCCUUAAAAUCUUAGCUCAUAUGUAAUUUUGUCCAAGCCUUUUACCCUGACCUUCAGGCUAG